rnacentral:lncRNA from 1 species
AACAGAACAAACAGCACUCCUGGCUAAGCCCAAUUCGCAUAGGGCAGGCCCAGGUGGAGGAAAAACAUAUAAAAGGAGGAGCCAAAGUGCUUUCUCUUGGACUCUCUCUCCCACGUGCGCACAUGAGCUCGCUCUCUCGCAGCGCUCUCUCUCUCUCCCACGCACUCCUCCACUCUCUUCUCUUCGAGUCUUGGAUUCUCCUGCUAUCUUCUAAGUAAAAUGGAGCUGUAACACUGAUUUGCUUAAGAGCUGUAACACGGUUUGUCCAAGACCCGAGAGCUGUGAUGCGCCGAGGGCUUUAAUGUCCAUUGCUCCAAAUCUAUGUUGUGACGAGACAAAGAACUGAGGAACAUACACUCGUGUGACACCUCUAUUGAUUUGAAGUAAAGAGUUUGGCUUUUUCAACUACAUCUGUCUGUUAAAACUGUCAGAUUGUGAUCCUCCUCCUUUGGGAAAGAGGAAGAGGAGCAUUUCAGCCUGAACAAGAGGGACCCAGGCCCAUUCGCCUCCACUAGUCCAUCUGCAGAAUCUGGAGGAGAACUGAGGUUAUCAUCAGAACCUAGUGACAUCAGGACAUCACGUGUGGUUUUCAGUGUCCUCCAGGGUGGACACAUCAAGUCCGGGAACGACACUGACAUUCAGACAGACACUACGUUCAGCCCUCUUCCUGGAGGCGAGGCAUCCUGUAUCAUCAUCCUUUCUUCUGAGUAAGAACUUGACUUCCUCUCUAACACUUAGACAGUGAACAGGGUAACUGCAGAAAAAGUCCACUGCCCACGGCAGACGUAGCUCGACUUCCUCCACACACAGGUAAGCUUCCUUAAGAAAGAAUUUUGGCAACUGGAUCUGGUCCCGGUUGGGUGGCUCUGGACCGCUCAUUUGAUGUUGAAUGCCAUCAAGGGUCUCUCCUCCCGUUUCUGCCACGGGCUCUUCUUGUCUUCGCCCUGGUCGUCAUCAUCCUCGCCGCCUUCCUCAUCCUGUGGAGCGGAUCUCCUCUGGUCGGGACUGGCCGCUGGCUCAGGGCAACGUCCGAAAUUCGCCGUCGUCUCCUCCUGCAGGCUGGGCAGCUGGCGCCGCUCCUCCGGCUGGAGCCGUCCAGCAGGCACCGCAGAGCACUGUCCUCUGGUGUCCCGGCCGUGGUGCCGCCGCUGCCGCUCUGGUCCAUGUCCUCCAGGAGCUGGACCUCGCUGUUCAUCUGAGCCAAGGCCGCGUCGUUCAGAGAUGCUGGGAUGGAGAGCGACUCCGACAUGGAUGCGCUCUGCGGGUCCACUCCCGGCGCCCGUGUCCUGCAGGUGCUGCUGCGAGAUGGCCUGGCAAGAGAGGGGCUGCGCUUGGAUCUGCGCGGAGGGUGUGGGAAGAUCCCUGCAUGCGGGCUGGAUAGCUCGGCCUGCAGCCUUCGAUCUCCAGCUGCGGGUCGGCUGGGACGACCAGGGCUGGCCCACGCACGAAUGGUCCCCUGGGAGUUUCAUGUAA